rnacentral:rRNA from 1 species
GACGAACGCUGGCGGCGUGCUUAACACAUGCAAGUCGAACGGAAAGGCCCUGCUUUUGUGGGGUGCUCGAGUGGCGAACGGGUGAGUAACACGUGAGUAACCUGCCCUUGACUUUGGGAUAACUUCAGGAAACUGGGGCUAAUACCGGAUAGGAGCUCCUGCUGCAUGGUGGGGGUUGGAAAGUUUCGGCGGUUGGGGAUGGACUCGCGGCUUAUCAGCUUGUUGGUGGGGUAGUGGCUUACCAAGGCUUUGACGGGUAGCCGGCCUGAGAGGGUGACCGGCCACAUUGGGACUAAGAUACGGCCCGGACUCCUACGGGGGGCAGCAGUGAGGAAUAGUACACGAUGGGCGGAAGCCUGAUGCAGCAACGCCGCGUGCGGGAUGACGGCCUUCGGGUUGUAAACCGCUUUCGCCUGUGACGAAGCGUGAGUGACGGUAAUGGGUAAAGAAGCACCGGCUAACUACGUG